CAAAAGGCUCUUUUCAGGGCUACACACUUUAAACUAAGGAUGACUU
rfam:Mus musculus chromosome 13, GRC primary reference assembly.